rnacentral:rRNA from 1 species
UGGGGAAUAUUGCACAAUGGACGCAAGUCUGAUGCAGCAACGCCGCGUGGAGGAUGACACAUUUCGGUGCGUAAACUCCUUUUAUAUAAGAAGAUAAUGACGGUAUUAUAUGAAUAAGCACCGGCUAACUCCGUGCCAGCAGCCGCGGUAAUACGGAGGGUGCAAGCGUUAUUCGGAAUCACUGGGCGUAAAGGGUGCGUAGGCGGUUUGGAAAGUCUGAUGUGAAAGCCUACAGCUUAACUGUAGAACUGCAUUGGAAACUUCCAGACUAGAAUACUGAAGGGGCAGAUGGAAUUAGUGGUGUAGGGGUAAAUCCGUAGAUAUCACUAGGAAUACCGAAAGCGAAAGCGAUCUGCUGGGAAGUUAUUGACGCUGAGGCACGAAAGCGUGGGGAGCAAACG